rnacentral:rRNA from 1 species
UCAGACGAUGCGUCAUGCAUAUCAAUAAGCGGAGGAAAAGAAACUAACAAGGAUUCCCCUAGUAACGGCGAGUGAAGCGGGAAGAGCUCAAAUUUGAAAUCUUAAAGGGUUUCCCUUUACGAAUUGUAGUUUAAAGAAGUGUUUUCUGUUGAGGUUUUGGUAAAAGUUCUUUGGAAUAGGACAUCAUAGAGGGUGAGGAUCCCGUAUUUGACCUUUACUUUCAACUUUGUGAUACACUUUCAAAGAGUCGGAUUGUUUGGGAAUGCAGUCCAAAAUGGGUGGUAAAUUUCAUCUAAAGCUAAAUAUUGGCGAGAGACCGAUAGCGAACAAGUACCGUGAGGGAAAGAUGAAAAGAACUUUGAAAAGAGAGUUAAACAGUACGUGAAAUUGUCAAAAGGGAAGCGUUUGACACCAGUGUUGUUUUUCUGAAAAUCAAUUAAAGAACUGUUUAUGCUAAGUCUGUUUAGACUUUAUCAGCUAUCUGUUUAGUUUUGAGCUUUUCUUUAAUGCACUUUUCAGUUAACAAGUCAACAUCAAUUUCUUUUGCUGUAAAAAAGCUUGAGGAAGGUGGCUUGAGAUUCGUCUUAAGUGUUUAUAGCCUCUUGCCUAUGCAGUCGGAGAGAUUGAGGUCUGCAGCGUAGAUCCUUCGGGGCUAAAUGCAUUUGUGCUAAGUUAUAGCAUUUUAUAGACAACUUGUUGACUAUGAUUUGUCUUGUAGCUUACUCGCUUAUGUUAUUUUACCUACGCUUAGGAUGUUGAAUCUGUGCGAGACUAC